rnacentral:tmRNA from 1 species
CGGGAUGAGAAAUCUCUGGACUGGUUCCGGCCAAAGGUUGUCCGUUACCUUGGCAGGAAUGAGAUCAAAAGUUCGGACUAAACAUGUAGAAACCGGGUGAGUCACCGCUUUGGACGCGGGUUCAACUCCCGCCGCCUCCACUA